CUGUUCUCAGCCCUGCUGCGUUUUUACCAAAGACUUGCGACAGCACCAUGAAGUUGGUAGGCUUCUUCCUCCUUGUGCUCCUCAUCACCCUCAGCCUAGGGGUACAGGAGCUUCAGGCUGCGGUGAGACCGUUGCAUCUUUUGGGUGACUGCAUUGAGCUCUGCAGUGGUGACCGGGACUGUAAUCCAGGGGAGCAUUGUAUCAGCACUGGGUGUAGCCAGGUCUGCGCUGCAUACUAAGAACAGAGUUGCUAUCUUCAAAGAUGUGACUGGAACGCCUUGCCCAGGAAGAUGGAUGAAAAUGGGGACCUGUGGAUGGAGAUUACAAGGAUGGGGAAGGAAAAAAGUUGUUUCUUUAAAUAAAUCAUCAUUAUUAAAAGUA